UACGUGAGGGUGCAAGCGUUUAAUCGGAAUACUGGGCGUAAAGCGUGCGCAGGCGGUUUAUGGUAAGACAGUUGUGAAAUCCCCCGGGCUUAACCUGGGAACUGCAUUUGUGACUGCAUGGGCUGGAGUGUGGCAGAGGGGGAUGGAAUUCCGCGUGUAGCAGUGAAAUGCGUAGAUAUGCGGAGGAACACCGAUGGCGAAGGCAAUCCCCUGGGCCUGCACUGACGCUCAUGCACGAAAGCGUGGGGAGCAAACAGG
rnacentral:rRNA from 1 species